rnacentral:rRNA from 1 species
CGAUGAAGCCGCAGCUUGCUGUGGUGGAUUAGUGGCGAACGGGCGANUAACACGUGAGUAACCUGUCCUUUUCUUUGGGAUAACGGCUGGAAACGGCUGCUAAUACUGGAUAUUCAGGCGUCACCGCAUGGUGGUGUUUGGAAAGGUUUUUUCUGGGAUUGGGUGGGCUCGCGGCCUAUCAGCUUGUUGGUGGGGUGAUGGCUUACCAAGGCUUUGACGGGUAGCCGGCCUGAGAGGGUGGUCGGUCGCACUGGGACUGAGAUACGGCCCAGACUCCUACGGGAGGCAGCAGUGGGGAAUAUUGCACAAUGGACGAAAGUUUGAUGCAGCGACGCCGCGUGGAGGGUGUAGGCCUUCGGGUUGUGAACUCCUUUUUCUCGCGAAAAAGGCACAGUUUUGGCUGUGUUGAUGGUAGUGGGGGAAGAAGCGCCGGCUAACUACGUGCCAGCAGCCGCGGUAAUACGUAGGGCGCGAGCGUUGUCCGGAUUUAUUGGGCGUAAAGAGCUCGUAGGUGGUUCGUCGCGUCUGUCGUGAAAGCCAGCAGCUUAACUGUUGGUCUGCGGUGGGUACGGGCGGGCUUGAGUGCGGUAGGGGUGACUGGAAUUCCUGGUGUAGCGGUGGAAUGCGCAGAUAUCAGGAGGAACACCGAUGGCGAAGGCAGGUCACUGGGCCGUUACUGACACUGAGGAGCGAAAGCGUGGGGAGCGAACAGGAUUAGAU